rnacentral:rRNA from 1 species
AUGAGACUGAGCCUCUACGCGGACGACGCGAUCUUCUUCUCAAACCCAUGUAAAGAGGAAGUGCUCUGCCUGUUAGACAUUCUUGAAUCCUUUGGUAGGGCCUCAGGGAUGAUGAUAAACCCCACCAAGUCAACAGUGGCACCGAUCCGAUGCAAUGGCUUAAACCUAGACGAGAUUUUGGACGGCUUCGCGAGAUCGAGAGUGGGCUUCCCGAUCACAUAUCUAGGACUUCCCAUCACACUUGGUAGGCUAAAGAAAGUACACCUACAGUUCAUCUUCGAUCGGAUUAGGGCAAAACUUGCUGGUUGGAAAGGAAAGCUACUGAACAUGGUGGGGGCGUGCGCUGGUCCGAGCAGUCAUCUCAGCAAUGCCGGUCUUUGCUCUCACGGCCAUCAAACCACCUGCUGA